rnacentral:rRNA from 1 species
CAUAUCAAUAAGCGGAGGAAAAGAAACCAACAGGGAUUGCCUCAGUAACGGCGAGUGAAGCGGCAACAGCUCAAAUUUUAAAGCUGGCGUCUUCGACGCCCGCGUUGUAAUUUGGAGAGGCAUCUUCGGUUUGGGCGCCAGCCUAUGUUCCUUGGAACAGGACGUCACAGAGGGUGAGAAUCCCGUGCUUGGCUGGCUGUCCCUUGCCAUGUGAAGUGCCUUCGACGAGUCGAGUUGUUUGGGAAUGCAGCUCAAAAUGGGUGGUAAAUUCCAUCUAAAGCUAAAUAUUGGCGGGAGACCGAUAGCGCACAAGUAGAGUGAUCGAAAGAUGAAAAGCACUUUGAAAAUAGAGUUAAAAAGUACGUGAAAUUGUUGAAAGGGAAGCGCUUGAGACCAGACUCGGCCGGAGAUGAUCAGCCGUCCUUCUGGGCGGUGCACUUGUCUCCGGUCGGGCCAGCAUCGGUUGAGACGGCGGGAUAAAGGCCCGGGGAAUGUGGCUCCUUUCGGGGAGUGUUAUAGCCCCGGACGCAAUGCCGCCAGCCUCGACCGAGGACCGCGCUUUUUGCUAGGAUGCUGGCGUAAUGGUCUUCAGCGACCCGUCUUGAAACACGGACCAAGGAGUCUAACAUCUAUGCGAGUGUUUGGGUGUCAAACCCUUGCGCGUAAUGAAAGUGAACGGAGGUGGGAACCCCCUCGCGGGGCGCACCAUCGACCGGUCCUGAUGUCUUCGGAUGGAUCUGAGUAGGAGCAUAGCUGUUGGGACCCGAAAGAUGGUGAACUAUGCCUGAAUAGGGUGAAGCCAGAGGAAACUCUGGUGGAGGCUCGCAGCGGUUCUGACGUGCAAAUCGAUCGUCAAAUUUGGGUAUAGGG